AUUGAACGCUGGCGGCAUGCCUUACACAUGCAAGUCGAACGGCAGCGGGGGAGAAGCUUGCUUUUCCUGCCGGCGAGUGGCGAACGGGUGAGUAAUACAUCGGAACGUGCCCUGUAGUGGGGGAUAACUAGUCGAAAGAUUAGCUAAUACCGCAUACGACCUGAGGGGGAAAGGGGGGGGCCGCAAGGCCUCAUGCUAUAGGAGCGGCCGAUGUCUGAUUAGCUAGUUGGUGGGGUAAAGGCCUACCAAGCCAACGAUCUGUAGCUGGUCUGAGAGGACGACCAGCCACACUGGGACUGAGACACGGCCCAGACUCCUACGGGAGGCAGCAGUGGGGAAUUUUGGACAAUGGGCGAAAGCCUGAUCCAGCAAUGCCGCGUGCAGGAAGAAGGCCUUCGGGUUGUAAACUGCUUUUGUACGGAGCGAAAAGGCCCUCUCUAAUACAGUGGGCUCAUGACGGUACCGUAAGAAUAAGCACCGGCUAACUACGUGCCAGCCGCCGCGGUAA
rnacentral:rRNA from 1 species